GGUAUCGAGUGGCGAACGGGUGAGUAACACGUGGGUAAUCUGCCCUGCACUUCGGGAUAAGCCUGGGAAACUGGGUCUAAUACCGAAUAGGACCAUUUAGCGCAUGCUUUAUGGUGGAAAGCUUUUGCGGUGUGGGAUGGGCCCGCGGCCUAUUCAGCUUGUUGGUGGGGUGACGGCCUACCAAGGCGACGACGGGUAGCCGGCCUGAGAGGGUGUCCGGCCACACUGGGACUGAGAUACGGCCCAGACUCCUACGGGAGGCAGCAGUGGGGAAUAUUGCACAAUGGGCGCAAGCCUGAUGCAGCGACGCCGCGUGGGGGAUGACGGCCUUCGGGUUGUAAACCUCUUUCAGCAGGGACGAAGCGCAAGUGACGGUACCUGCAGAAGAAGCACCGGCCAACUACGUG
rnacentral:rRNA from 1 species